rnacentral:rRNA from 1 species
UACGUAGGGUGCGAGCGUUGUCCGGAAUUAUUGGGCGUAAAGAGCUCGUAGGCGGUGUGUCACGUCGGCCGUGAAAACCUGCAGCUUAACUGUGGGCGUGCGGUCGAUACGGGCAUCACUGGAGUUCGGCAGGGGAGACUGGAAUUCCUGGUGUAGCGGUGAAAUGCGUAGAUAUCGGAAGGAACAUCAGUGGCGAAAGCGGCUUCCUGGACCAGUACCGACGUUCAGGCACGAAAGCGUGGGGAGCAAACAGG